UACGGAGGGUGCGAGCGUUGUCCGGAAUCACUGGGCGUAAAGGGCGCGUAGGCGGCCUGGUAAGUAGGGGGUGAAAUCCUGCGGCUUAACCGCAGGGCUGCCUUCUAAACUGUCAGGCUCGAGCACAGUAGAGGCAGGUGGAAUUCCCGGUGUAGCGGUGGAAUGCGUAGAGAUCGGGAAGAACAUCAGUGGCGAAGGCGGCCUGCCGGGCUGUUGCUGACGCUGAGGCGCGACAGCGUGGGGAGCAAACAGG
rnacentral:rRNA from 1 species